CUAGUCGAAAGAUUAGCUAAUACCGCAUACGACCUGAGGGUGAAAGCGGGGGACCGCAAGGCCUCGCGCAAUAGGAGCGGCCGAUGUCUGAUUAGCUAGUUGGUGGGGUAAAGGCCUACCAAGGCGACGAUCAGUAGCUGGUCUGAGAGGACGAUCAGCCACACUGGGACUGAGACACGGCCCAGACUCCUACGGGAGGCAGCAGUGGGGAAUUUUGGACAAUGGGGGCAACCCUGAUCCAGCAAUGCCGCGUGUGUGAAGAAGGCCUUCGGGUUGUAAAGCACUUUUGUCCGGAAAGAAAUCGCGCUGGCUAAUACCUGGCGUGGAUGACGGUACCGGAAGAAUAAGCACCGGCUAACUACGUGCCAGCAGCCGCGGUAAUACGUAGGGUGCGAGCGUUAAUCGGAAUUACUGGGCGUAAAGCGUGCGCAGGCGGUUUUGUAAGACAGGCGUGGAAUCCCCGAGCUCAACUUGGGAAUGGCGCUUGUGACUGCAAGGCUAGAGUAUGUCAGAGGGGGGUAGAAUUCCACGUGUAGCAGUG
rnacentral:rRNA from 1 species